UGGGGAAUUUUGGACAAUGGGCGAAAGCCUGAUCCAGCAAUGCCGCGUGUGUGAAGAAGGCCUUCGGGUUGUAAAGCACUUUUGUCCGGAAAGAAAUCCUUGGCUCUAAUACAGUCGGGGGAUGACGGUACCGGAAGAAUAAGCACCGGCUAACUACGUGCCAGCAGCCGCGGUAAUACGUAGGGUGCAAGCGUUAAUCGGAAUUACUGGGCGUAAAGCGUGCGCAGGCGGUUUGCUAAGACCGAUGUGAAAUCCCCGGGCUCAACCUGGGAACUGCAUUGGUGACUGGCAGGCUAGAGUAUGGCAGAGGGGGGUAGAAUUCCACGUGUAGCAGUGAAAUGCGUAGAGAUGUGGAGGAAUACCGAUGGCGAAGGCAGCCCCCUGGGCCAAUACUGACGCUCAUGCACGAAAGCGUGGGGAGCAAACAGGAUUAGAUACCCUGGUAGUCCACGCCCUAAACGAUGUCAACUAGUUGUUGGGGAUUCAUUUCCUUAGUAACGUAGCUAACGCGCGAAGUUGACCGCCUGGGGAGUACGGUCGCAAGAUUAAAACUUAAAUGAAUUGACGGGGUCAUAGCUGUUUCCU
rnacentral:rRNA from 1 species